rnacentral:sRNA from 1 species
CAGGGUCUCAUGUCGACCGACCUAUGGGAUUAUGCCUCGGUCUUUGGUACGACUCCUCACUUAUCCAAGGCCGAUCGAUUACGAUACGGUCAAAGUCUGAUGACGCAUGCAAUGGUCUUAACGGGGUACGACGAAGACGACU